rnacentral:miRNA from 1 species
CAUCCCCAGCCAUGUUUGGCACUUAGCAAGCACUCAAUAAAUAUCUGUUGAAUGAAUAAAUGUGAGACAGUAAUUUUUGUGUUGGGUCUCCUUGGCAUU